AUUGAACGCUGGCGGCAGGCCUAAUACAUGCAAGUCGAACGAGUGGCGGACGGGUGAGUAAUGUCUGGGAAACUGCCCGAUGGAGGGGGAUAACUCCUGGAAACGGUAGCUAUUACCGCAUACCAUCGGAUUAGCCCAGAUGGGAUUAGCUAGUGGGUGGGGUAACGGCUCACCGAGGCGACGAUCCCUAGCUGGUCUCAGAGGAUGACCAGCCACACUGGAACUGAGACACGGUCCAGACUCCUACGGGAGGCAGCAGUGGGGAAUAUUGCACAAUGGGCGCAAGCCUGAUGCAGCCAUGCCGCGUGUAUGAAGAAGGCCUUCGGAUUGUAAAGUACUUUCAGCGGGGAAGCGUUACUCGCAGAAGAAGCACCGGCUAACUCCGUGCCAGCAGCCGCGGUAAUUC
rnacentral:rRNA from 1 species